rnacentral:rRNA from 1 species
AUACGGAGGAUGCAAGCGUUAUCCGGAUUUAUUGGGUUUAAAGGGUGCGUAGGCGGUUUGCUAAGCGGGAGGUGAAAUGCCGGCGCUCAACGUCGGAAGUGCCUCCCGAACUGGUGGACUGGAAUGACUCUGCCGUGGGAGGAAUGUGUAGUGUGGCGGUGAAAUGCUUAGAGAUUACACACAACACCGAUUGCGAAGGCAUCUCACGAAGGGUUGAUUGACGCUGAGGCACGAAAGCGUGGGGAUCAAACAGGAUUAGAUACCCUGGUAGUCCACGCAGUAAACGAUGAUGGCUAACCGCUGGUUUAUUCGGAUCAGUGGCCAAGCGAAAGCGAUAAGCCAUCCACCUGGGGAGUACGACCGCAAGGUUGAAACUCAAAGGAAUUGACGGGG